rnacentral:tRNA from 1 species
CUCCCCCGGAAAGGCUCGAACUUUCAACCUCCUGAUUAACAGUCAGACGCGCUAGCCAAUUGCGCCACGGAGGA